AGAGUUUGAUCAUGGCUCAGAUUGAACGCUGGCGGCAGGCCUAACACAUGCAAGUCGAGCGGUAGCACAGAGAGCUUGCUCUCGGGUGACGAGCGGCGGACGGGUGAGUAAUGUCUGGGAAACUGCCUGAUGGAGGGGGAUAACUACUGGAAACGGUAGCUAAUACCGCAUAACGUCGCAAGACCAAAGUGGGGGACCUUCGGGCCUCAUGCCAUCAGAUGUGCCCAGAUGGGAUUAGCUGGUAGGUGGGGUAACGGCUCACCUAGGCGACGAUCCCUAGCUGGUCUGAGAGGAUGACCAGCCACACUGGAACUGAGACACGGUCCAGACUCCUACGGGAGGCAGCAGUGGGGAAUAUUGCACAAUGGGCGCAAGCCUGAUGCAGCCAUGCCGCGUGUGUGAAGAAGGCCUUCGGGUUGUAAAGCACUUUCAGCGGGGAGGAAGGCGGUGAGGUUAAUAACCUCACCGAUUGACGUUACCCGCAGAAGAAGCACCGGCUAACUCCGUGCCAGCAGCCGCGGUAAUACGGAGGGUGCAAGCGUUAAUCGGAAUUACUGGGCGUAAAGCGCACGCAGGCGGUCUGUCAAGUCGGAUGUGAAAUCCCCGGGCUCAACCUGGGAACUGCAUUCGAAACUGGCAGGCUAGAGUCUUGUAGAGGGGGGUAGAAUUCCAGGUGUAGCGGUGAAAUGCGUAGAGAUCUGGAGGAAUACCGGUGGCGAAGGCGGCCCCCUGGACAAAGACUGACGCUCAGGUGCGAAAGCGUGGGGAGCAAACAGGAUUAGAUACCCUGGUAGUCCACGCUGUAAACGAUGUCGAUUUGGAGGUUGUGCCCUUGAGGCGUGGCUUCCGGAGCUAACGCGUUAAAUCGACCGCCUGGGGAGUACGGCCGCAAGGUUAAAACUCAAAUGAAUUGACGGGGGCCCGCACAAGCGGUGGAGCAUGUGGUUUAAUUCGAUGCAACGCGAAGAACCUUACCUGGUCUUGACAUCCACAGAACUUAGCAGAGAUGCUUUGGUGCCUUCGGGAACUGUGAGACAGGUGCUGCAUGGCUGUCGUCAGCUCGUGUUGUGAAAUGUUGGGUUAAGUCCCGCAACGAGCGCAACCCUUAUCCUUUGUUGCCAGCGGU
rnacentral:rRNA from 1 species